CGGAAGAUGUCUAGGCGCGCGCUGUUGCCAUGGUAAUUCGUACCCGCCUCUACGCUUGUGAGCUCGUUUAUGGCCUCUUUCUCCAGGAAACUGAGGCCUGCAGACGUUAAAUAAUAAGAAGUAAAAAGCCGGGUAUGUUGAACUUCAGAGCAUAUGAACUGCCUCCCCACUGUUCGCUGGAUUGUUCUUAGAGUGGAGUAUGACCGUUCAUAUUUGUGGUACAAGAAGUGCUAAAGGAAGUCUUUCAACAAGAAAAUGAUACCAGAUAAAAUUGUGCAUCUACACAAAGGAAUAAAGGCACGGGAAAUGCCAAUUGCAUAGGGGAUUUACUCUCCAGGGCUGUCACUUUUCCAGAAACUGCCUUCAUGUGCCACUUCAGAUUCUACUUUGUAGAACUUUUAAAAAAGGUCUUGGAGAAGCUCAAGAGUUUCAGAAAGAAUUCCAAGUGGCUUACAGGAAAUGUUACAAUGAGAUAAAUAAAAUACAAACAUGAAUGGAAAAGAGAGAGGAAAAGAAGAUGAGGUACAAGGAAAAGAAGCUGUAAUGCACGUAGAAUAAUCUACAUAUAAAUUUAAGGUUCAGAUUUGAAGAGUCUCUUUGAAAGUGGGAGAGGACAGAUCUUACACAGACUUUUCAGCUAUGGGAGAAUUAUUUGAAACACUAACCCUCCUCCCCAAAAUAAAACUCUUGUCAUUUUUUCUCCCA